rnacentral:misc_RNA from 1 species
GUGAAUCAUCGAAUCUUUGAACGCAAAUUGCGCUUCCUGGCAUUCCGGGAAGUAUGCCUGUUUGAGGGUCAGUAUUAAUAAAAAAUCGGUUUCGUUACUAAUUGUGACGUUUCCGGGGUUUGGGCUAUCUUAACAUUUUUGGUUACGAGGUUUCAAAUUGACCUUUUUUUCGCCUUUUUAAACGUACAUAAAUUUUUUUAUUCGCCUAUUCUUAAUCCCAAACUCUUUUUCGUUGCGUCCACUUC